rnacentral:lncRNA from 1 species
AGGUUGUUUGUGGCAUUGAGUAGGUAGAGGCCAGGAAUGCUGCUGAACAUGCUACAACACAUGUGACACCCUCUUACAACCAAAAAUCCUCUUUCCCAAACUGUCGAUAAUGCUGGGGUUGAGAAAUCUUGAGCUAGAAUGAUGUAUAAUUUAAGAAUAUUUUUCUGAUAAAAAUUUCAAAGAAGUAUUUUUCUCAAUUAUAUUUCUAUUCCCUAUUAAGAAAUUCCAUUAUAUUAAAUUUGUAUCAAGAAAAUAUUUUAGAUAAAGUUGGUAAAGAAUAAAGCACUAUGGCUACUACAGCUUAUUUUUUAUAAAAAUAUAAAAUGCAUACAAUCAAGAAUGGGAAUUCAGGUUUUAUAUACCAUAGAUCAAGGAUUAUUUCAGAAAUUAAUCUUGUAAAACUAUUGCUUUUCAACAAACCUGUAUAAUAAAAUUCUUAGUAAUUAAUGUUUUGAGCAAGAGAACAAAUAUUAGGUGGCAUUAGUGUAUAAUGGGCUUUAAUUUGAAGAUAGAACAGAAAAAGAAAGGAAAGGGAUAAGAAACAAUGAACAUAAAGAAAUCAAUGCAUGACAGAAUAUUAAGUAUUAUGACAUCUCUAUUCUAGAUCCCACUGCCACCAAAUCCAACAUUCUGAAAGCAAGAAGCAAUCAUGCAAUCUCUGGGCUCAAGUCUUUUUGGUGCUACACAUCCCCUGGAACAAUGCUCGGUGAAUACUCUGUCAGCAUCAGUGUCAGUGUUCAGGGAAGGAUGUUUGGACUAGAGGUUACGACACACAAAUGCCGUUUUGAAGUACCUGAGUACUGGUCCCAGCACUUCUGCUUCCUGCUAAUGAGCACUGUGGGAGGCCGCAGUGAGAGCUCAAUUGGUUGGGACUCUUCCAUCCAGGUGGGAGAUAAGAAUUAAGUUCUUGGCUCCUGGCUCAGCCCAAGAUAUUCUGAACAUUUGGCAAGUGAACCAGUGGGUGAGAACUCUGUCUGUGUGUCUUUCUCACUCUUUGUCUUUCAAAUAAAUAAAUAAUCUAAUAUUUAAGAAGAAAAACU